UAUGUUUCGCAAUUUCAUGUACAUGCCUCGAGUGAAUUAUAUAUGAUUGUACCAACAGUAAUAACAUCGUAAUUUUCAUAUUUGUUUGAAAAUUAGUAGUGCCAAGAAAAGCUAAUUAGUGUUUUGGUAGCAUAAAAAUAAAAAUUGCCGCUGAAAUGUGAGGGAAAGACGUCUGCAGCCUUGCAUCAUGCUGAGCUAACUCGCUCCAACCCGUGUUGCAAAUGUAUCAUACAGAGCGGCGCUCUAAAUUGAAACCGGAGAUUUGAGCAAUUUUACCAUCUCAAAAUUCCUUGUCGUAUCGAUCUAUGGUCAGAGUCAUAGAUACAUCACGAUAUAAUAGCAAGGUUAACAUAAAUACCAUCACACCAGAUGCAUGGCCAAUUGAUCGAGUGGCUCAUGAAACUGUUGGGCUACAUAGGAGAAAACAUAGAAAAACAAAAGUCAAUCACCCUUCAUCAACAUCACAGAUUAACCAACUCGCCAUCAUGAAACACUUGCCACCUCUCCAAGGAGGCUGAGUCAGAAAUGGAACACCUGUUAAAAUGUAAAGCAGGUUAUCUACAGCUAGCCUUGCUGCUUCAAUUAACCCCAAAUCUAACCUAAUAAAAACAAGAAAAAGGCAUUUUAAACAGUUUAGGGCUGAAUCCAUAACACAUUUUUCUCUCCAAUUUUACCUUCAACAUAUUUACCACAAACAGUACAGCAAAGCAGGGAGCCAAUUAGCUACAGUAUACUUCCUUUAGCCAACUGCUGUGCAACAUAGGAUAAACCCUAGAAAAAGAUAAUUAUAUCGCCCCUCAAUAAUAAGGGGGCCUUUUGGGUUCUCAUAGUUUGAUGAUAUGCUUAUGGAGGGGCUAUGUCGCUACCCACAAAUCCGAAUUAAAGGUUAAUCGUUCCUGUAAAAAUGUUCCGUUUCUUCAGCUCUUCUUCUGGCUUCUCUUAGCCACGCACAGGACACACUGGGUAAUUUCCCCGGUGGUCAAUUGAGGCAGUGUCUCCCUCUGCCUUAGUUGACGAAAACUUUUGAAAGGCUUAUUUUGCCAUUCAUAAAGUUAUAAAUCAUUGAAUAUUGUGGAACCCUGUCAAUAUAUGAAUUUUUAAAGAUUGUUUGUAAAAUAUCUCUUUUUUAUUGUCUUGAUGUUCAUAUUCUGGUAUUUUUUAAUCAUUGCACACUGCACCUUUUCUUUUUUAACACUUUCAAUUUUUUUUUUCAAUUUCUCUAUUUUGAGUUUUACAUUAUCAACUGAAACAAUUCACAUAUUAUUAUUAAUACACGACUAUAGUAAGGAUCGAUCCCCAAUUCUUCAGCUUACCGCGUCAAUGCUAAACCGUUGAUUACUACUUUCUAUUUUGCAUAGUAGCUUAAAGGUGGCAUGUUUAAACUUGUAAAGGGAUUGGUGUGCUAUAAUUGGUAAAUUAAAAAUGCGCCUCGUUAACUGUCCACACCAAUGACA